rnacentral:rRNA from 1 species
AGCGCAGACGGUUAUUUAAGCAAGAUGUGAAAGCCCCGGGCUCAACCUGGGAACUGCGUUUUGAACUGGGUAACUAGAGUGUGUCAGAGGGGGGUAGAAUUCCACGUGUAGCAGUGAAAUGCGUAGAUAUAUGGAAGAACACCAGUGGCGAAGGCGGCUUUCUGGACUGUAAUUGGCGUUGAGGCUCGAAAGUGUGGGUAGCAAACA